rnacentral:piRNA from 1 species
UGUCAGCACUAGAUGUGGC